GACGAACGCUGGCGGCGCGCCUAACACACGCAAGUCGAACGAGCGAGAGAGAGCUUGCUUUCUUGAGCGAGUGGCGAACGGGUGAGUAACGCGUGAGGAACCUGCCUCAAAGAGGGGGACAACAGUUGGAAACGACUGCUAAUACCGCAUAAGCCCACGGUGCCGCAUGGCACAGAGGGAAAAGGAGCAAUCCGCUUUGAGAUGGCCUCGCGUCCGAUUAGCUAGUUGGUGAGGUAACGGCCCACCAAGGCGACGAUCGGUAGCCGGACUGAGAGGUUGAACGGCCACAUUGGGACUGAGACACGGCCCAGACUCCUACGGGAGGCAGCAGUGGGGAAUAUUGCACAAUGGGGGAAACCCUGAUGCAGCGACGCCGCGUGGAGGAAGAAGGUCUUCGGAUUGUAAACUCCUGUUGUUGGGGAAGAUAAUGACGGUACCCAACAAGGAAGUGACGGCUAACUACGUG
rnacentral:rRNA from 1 species